AUUGAACGCUGGCGGCAUGCUUUACACAUGCAAGUCGAACGGUAACAGGCCGCAAGGUGCUGACGAGUGGCGAACGGGUGAGUAAUGCAUCGGAACGUGCCCAGUCGUGGGGGAUAACGCAGCGAAAGCUGCGCUAAUACCGCAUACGAUCUCUGGAUGAAAGCGGGGGACCGAAAGGCCUCGCGCGAUUGGAGCGGCCGAUGUCAGAUUAGGUAGUUGGUGGGGUAAAGGCCCACCAAGCCAACGAUCUGUAGCUGGUCUGAGAGGACGACCAGCCACACUGGGACGGAGACACGGCCCAGACUCCUACGGGAGGCAGCAGUGGGGAAUUUUGGACAACGGGCGCAAGCCUGAUCCAGCAAUGCCGCGUGCAGGAAGAAGGCCUUCGGGUUGUAAACUGCUUUUGUACGGAACGAAACGGUCCUGGUUAAUACCUGGGGCUAAUGACGGUACCGUAAGAAUAAGCACCGGCUAACUACGUGCCAGCCGCCGCCGUAAUAC
rnacentral:rRNA from 1 species